GCCAAACCUAGCUGACACCCCUGCCACACAUCAUUCACACACUCCAGUACACACAUUUCUCCAUAGCAGGAUGGUAGAUCUUAUAUCGUAAUACCUGGCUGUUCACAGGAAACUUUGAGUCUGAGACUCAGCCUUUUGUUGGUGGCUUCUCUGGAAGGAGGAAUGCAGGAAAGGUGAAAUCAAGUCCCAGACCUCACUGUUAUGGACUAAGACAGUUUUCUGAAAGAAGUACAUCAACAAGGAUCUGAAGAGACUCUUAAGAAAUUGAUUUUCUAGCAUCAGUUCAUUUCAAUGGACCUUUUUAAAAGCAGUGCAAGAUAUUUUGAAAGACAUUUGGAUAUCUCCUGAUCUGAGAACUGCUACUACGACUGCAACUGCAGAUUCCUUUUUUUAAAAUAUCUGCCUUGUACCCUUUUU